GUUGUUGUGGUGUAGUGGUUAUCACGUCAGUCUUACACACUGAAGGUUUUUAGUUCAAUCUUGGGCAACAACA
rfam:Ipomoea nil DNA, scaffold: scaffold1074, cultivar: Tokyo-kokei standard.